UGCUGGUUUCCGCCACGGUGAUAUUUCUGAGUCAUGAUUAUCACCGGGUGAAAAUACGGCACA
rnacentral:pre_miRNA from 1 species